rnacentral:rRNA from 1 species
GUCGAACGGUAGCACAGAAGAGCUUGCUCUUCGGGUGACGAGUGGCGGACGGGUGAGUAAUGUCUGGGGAUCUGCCCGAUAGAGGGGGAUAACCACUGGAAACGGUGGCUAAUACCGCAUAACGUCGCAAGACCAAAGAGGGGGACCUUCGGGCCUCUCACUAUCGGAUGAACCCAGAUGGGAUUAGCUAGUAGGUGGGGUAACGGCUCACCUAGGCGACGAUCCCUAGCUGGUCUGAGAGGAUGACCAGCCACACUGGAACUGAGACACGGUCCAGACUCCUACGGGAGGCAGCAGUGGGGAAUAUUGCACAAUGGGCGCAAGCCUGAUGCAGCCAUGCCGCGUGUAUGAAGAAGGCCUUCGGGUUGUAAAGUACUUUCAGCGGGGAGGAAGGGAGCGAGGUUAAUAACCUCGUUCAUUGACGUUACCCGCAGAAGAAGCACCGGCUAACUCCGUGCCAGCAGCCGCGGUAAUACGGAGGGUGCAAGCGUUAAUCGGAAUUACUGGGCGUAAAGCGCACGCAGGCGGUCUGCUAAGUCAGAUGUGAAAUCCCCGGGCUUAACCUGGGAACUGCAUUUGAAACUGGCAGGCUAGAGU